CCUAAUCGCUAUCUUCCAUCCCCUCUCCAUUUCCCAUGUCCUAGGGUUAGGGAUCUUGAUUUUGGUUUCUUGAUCUCGUUGAUGGCUCUAGUUAGUUGGUGUUGGUUGCUACUCCGUGUUGUGUUGGCAUCGGCUUCUUGGGCUCGAUAUGACUGUCACUUAACGAGAUCAGUUCGCGGUCGUUGAUGUGGUUGUUCGUUUUCUGUCUGUACUUGUAUUUGUGUAUGGUUAUGAAAUGGGUGUCCUAGUGGAUUUCCUAGGACUUGCAUAUUCCUUUGAAAUGCAUGUUUGGAUGUUACCAAGAGUAGUCAUAUGUUCAUAUUGUUGAUUCCAUCAUUUAAUCAUUGCUUGCUCCCCUGGCUAAUUGAGUAAUUGAUUAGAUUACUGAGCUAAAUUAGUGUAUUUUGCUCUUAUUUGUACCAUUCCUUCAAAUAUUUUUUAUAGAAAAACGUUCCUUAAAAUAUUGAAUUUUUUGGGGGUUUCUGUAUUUCUACAAGAUACUUCGACACUGAUAGAAACAUGUUAACAGUUAACAAUUGCAUGCUAGAUAUUUCUACAAGAUCUCACUCUGAUUGUUCGGUUUAUGUAUAGAUUGGCAAAUUUGAAAAGUGACGCUCACUUAUGUAUGAUUAUAAUUUGUGCUAUGUAAACAAUUUCUGAAGUUUAUCCCAAAGUUAUGGGUUCCACGCUUGGUGAAUGCAGUAUGUGCUUUGUUUUCCAUAAUCUCACAUCUGACGAAUCAGUAUCUAAAUAUGUCUCUUUUUCUGAUAGCUUAUGGUUUUUCCUACAAGUAUCUGAUGCUUAUCUCAAAUUUAUCAAAGGAUCUUGGGUAGAAAUGCUACUUGAAUAUGUAAAAGAUAGGAAGCCCAAAGUUGGGACAAGUCUUAAAUUGGAUCUGUCCUCUUCUUAGUGCAUUAUUCUUCACAUGGAUAAUUGAACUUCAUUUCCCAUUGAGUAUCAUGAGAUGUAUUGAUGUAACAUACUGUUAUCAUGACAUUUCUAGUGUAUGAGAAGCAGGAGAAGCUAAAAAUUAUGAUGAAAAUGCAUGUUCUGAAGGAUGGGCCUUACAGGAUGAUAUCUUAUUCUUAUUUCCUUGCUCUAGCAGUUGUCUUGUGAUUUUCGGUUCCUUGAUAGGUAAAUUAUAAUUACAUUACACUCUUGAGUAUGCUGUUAUGGAAAAUGAAUGUGCAAGGUGAAUUCAUUAACCUUCUUCUAUUCGGUUCUCAAUUUUAUUAGAGGAGUCGAGGGCCUAUUGGGCCUUAGCCCAUUAGGGUUAAUUAGUUGGUUGCUUAGGGGCAAAGUCAAACCUCUCUAUAUAAUGAGAGGAGAUGUAUCAAUCUAAUCAAGCAAGAGAUUAGAAGGAAAACAUUCCCUCUUGCCCGGCCGCGGGCAAAGCCCCGCGGCAGGCCUUCUUGCGCCCCUGCAACCCUAGCCGCCGCCGCCGCCAGCAGUGAACCGUACCCACAAGUACUGUAGCGCACCAGUCCUCUCACUCUCUCAUGAUCUCAAUCCUAACAACGUCCAUAACAAUCUGGUAUCAGAGAUCAGGCAUCGAUCUGCCCCUGCUGCGCCAGCCAUGUUCCCCACCACGGCGGCCAUGGCUGGCCCUGGUUCACCCGUCGCGCUGCCAGUUUUCGCCACCACCACGGCCAGCACACCACCGCUGCCUGCGCAGCAGUCUGCGCCUUCCACGGGCGCCCUCAACACGUUGACAGCGGCCGUCUAUGCCUUGCAGUGCCAGAUGGAUGACAUCUCCGCACGUCUGGCAGCGCUCGCAGGCAGGGCAUCGCCCUCCGUGCUGCCGCCGGGCCUGACAUCGGUCGGGUACAUCCGGUCUUUUUCGGCGGCAGUUUCAGUCAUCCCUGAGAGCUUCUUCGCGCAGUGGGUCCUUCCUGUGAGUUCGGCGCCCGUCUCCCCGUCGUUGACCGCCCCAGCCCCGUGCCACCACAGCAGCACUGCGAGGGCAUCUUCUACAGGGGCAUGAAUGGCAUCCAGGCAGCGGUGGCGCAACUGCAGGCCGCGCCCCAUCUUCAAGUGGUGGCGUCCAGUCGUCCCUGCCAUGUCUCUGCGGCGCCGGUGCGACUGCAGGCUGCAGCACGCGACUUCCUAGCGCGGCGCUGGCUGCAGGAGAUGCAUCGGUAGAUGCACGAGGCGACCUUGAUGGCGGUUGACCUCGGCAAAGGGGGGCCCGUUCUCGCCCCGUCGGACGGCCACCAGCAAUCACGCGGGUCCGCAGCUGUCUUCAUGCACGAGCAUCGUGUUCUCUCCACGGUCGGCGAAUUCCAACUCAAUGGCAGCGGCGGUAGGGGAGGCGGUUUCCACUUUGUCACCGGGGGGGGGGGUGCAUUGCCUAGCGCCACCACUUUCCACUACCGGCCGCCGAGAGGACGUCGCACUCCUCUCAUUCCAAUGGUCUCCAUGGGAUCUAGGUGGCUACACACGUGGAGGUCCAGCACGUAGAGGGUGUCCGCCGUAUCUUCAGGAGUCAAAAAUAAAGAGUCGCAAUUUAUUUAAAAUAAGCUGAGAUGUAAAAGGCUUGUUCUUAGGUGUUCAGUUUGCGUCCAGUGGAGUCAUCGUUAGGUUGCAGCUCGAGGAUGAGCGCAUGUCCGGGUGGGGAGUAGUGUUAGAGGAGUCGAGGAACUAUUAGGCCUUAGCCCAUUUGGGUUAAUUAGUUGCCUGCUUAGGGGCAAAGUCAAACCUCUCUAUAUAAGGAGAGGAGAUGUAUCAAUCUAAUCAAGCAAGAGAUUAGAAGGAAAACCCUUCUCUCUUGCCCGGCCGCGGGCAAAGCCCCGCGGCAGGCCUUCUUGCGCCCCUGCAACCCUAGCCGCCGCCACCGCCAGCAGUGAACCAUACCUACGGUACUGUAGUGCACCAGCCCUCUCCCUCUCUCCUGAUCUCAAUCCCAACAACGUCCAUAACAAAUUUUUUCAGAGUCAAUGAAUACAGUGUACAAGCUGUUUUUCUUCAUCUGUAUAAAUUUACAGAUUGCCCUUGCAUUUUUUGGGGUGUUUUUCUUUUCAUCUGUCAAGAUGACCACAGGUAGUAACUCAAAGUGUGACCUCCUAGUCAAAAUUGUACCUUCUGAAAUUGGCAACUGAAAAUUUCAUUCACCUCCUGCUACAGUGGUUGGCUACAUGUAUGUAUUUGGCUCUGGCCUACUUGUUGCAUUUCUUUUCCUCUUCUUUGUCGAGAACAAAACAUUUCCCUGCAAGUUUCUAUCUUAAUUGUGAUUUUUGUCUCAGUUAUAUAUAACAUUAGUUACAACUUACAAGCUUUGCCUUCUCGGUUCAGAUGCUUGGGUAUUAGUCAUGGAGAUGUCCCUGGAUUUUGCCUCUGUCGAGGGCUAUAUGAACUUCAAUAUGCAUUCUGAGAGAACAGUAUGGGAGCCACUAGUGUGGCCUGGAGAAGUAUUGAUCAUAAUGAGUAUAGAAUGGGCAUUACUGCUCAUAUUAGCAUUGUAUUUAGAUCAAGCCGCUUUGUUAGGUUUUCUCAUACUCUGGUUUCUCUUAUUUAUAGUACAUAUGAUUGACCCUUCAUUCAUUGAUAUUGUUGCACUGUAAUCACUUCGGUCACGUAUACAUCCAAUGUUCUGCUUUUCCUUUGAAAAUAUGACAUUGUUGCACUGUAAUGGUUUUGUUUGGAUGUGGGUCUGUACGUGCAAAUGUACGAGUUUCAAGUGCUUGAUUUGAUGUUAUUGUAAGGAUUUGAUGAGUUGCUGCUGGUAAAAUUUGAUUAGUUGGAA